rnacentral:rRNA from 1 species
CGGGUGAGUAACACGUAUGCAACCUGCCUGCCACAGCCGGAUAAUCGGGAGAAAUUCCGUCUAAUACGGCAUAAUGCAUCGACGGGACAUCCUGUUGGUGCCAAAGGUUAAUUCCGGUGGCGGAUGGGCAUGCGUCGCAUUAGUUAGUUGCGGUGUAACGGACCACCAAGACGACGAUGCGUAGGGGUUCUGAGAGGAAGGUCCCCCACACUGGUACUGAGACACGGACCAGACUCCUACGGAAGGCAGCAG